GGAAGUAAAGUCGUAACAAGGUUUCCGUAGGUGAACCUGCGGAAGGAUCAUUAUUGUAUAACCGAGGUGCGAGGGCUGUCGCUGACCCGAAAGGUCGUGCACGCCCGAGUGCCCUCACACACAUCCAUCUCACCCCUAUGUGCACCACCGCGUGGGUCCCCCUUUGGCUUGUUCGGAGGGGGGCUUACGUUUUCACACAAACUUUGUGUGCAGUGUAGAGUGUAUUUUUUGCUUUUGCGAUCACGCAAUCAAUACAACUUUCAACAACGGAUCUCUUGGCUCUC
rnacentral:misc_RNA from 1 species